UUUGCAUUCCUAGGCUACAUGGAAACAUUUGCGGAGACAAUAUGAAGAAUAGCACCCCUUAAUAUUGGCUUACGGUAACUCAUUUAUUGGUUUACAAGAUUUAUUCCUUACAAUACUUUCCCAAUUUAGAAUUUGAAUUGAAAAUAGAAAACAACUACGGUGUUGAAAGAGUCGGGCCUUUCACUUAUUCAUGGAUGAGGUCCGG
rnacentral:lncRNA from 1 species